UAAUUUAGUAGUUAAUUUUUUAUAUAUAUCUACCUUUUUUAACGAUAAAAAUUUAACGGAAAUUGUAAUAUACUUUCAGGCAAGGAAUGCAAGAGUAACUAUUAAUGCAGUGCAUCCAGGUUGUUAAGACAGGAAUUAUUAGAGGUCAUCAAGGCUUAUUAACGGAUUCAAUAUUUUUCAUUGCAUCAAAGUUACUUAAAUCGACAUCACAGGGUGCAUCAACUACUUGUUAUGUUGCUCUGAGC